rnacentral:rRNA from 1 species
AUACAGAGGGUGCGAGCGUUAAUCGGAAUUACUGGGCGUAAAGCGCGCGUAGGCGGUCUAUUAAGUCAGAUGUGAAAUCCCAGGGCUCAACCUUGGAACUGCAUCUGAUACUGGUAGACUAGAGUUUUGGAGAGGGAAGUAGAAUUUCAGGUGUAGCGGUGAAAUGCAUAGAGAUCUGAAGGAAUACCAGUGGCGAAGGCGACUUCCUGGCCAAAAACUGACGCUGAGGUGCGAAAGCGUGGGUAGCAAACGGGAUUAGAAACCCCGGUAGUCC